rnacentral:RNase_P_RNA from 1 species
UCUGCAGGCCGGGUGACCGCGGGCCUCUCGAGGCUCGAGGAAAGUCCGGACACCGCAGGGCAGGACGCUGGGGAAACCCCAGGCGGCGAAAGCCGACGGAAAGUGGCACAGAAAGGAGACCGCCACGGACGUGAUCUCCGGAGACGUCCGCGGUAAGGGUGAAACGGUGGGGUAAGAGCCCACCAGCGUCGUGGCGACACGGCGGCUCGCCAAACCCCGUCCGGUGCAAGGCGAUGCAGGCCCCGUUGACGUUGCCCGCCGAGGGGCCGGGUGCGCCGCUCGAGCUGCCGAGAGAUCGGCGGCCAAGAUGGAUGGUCAUCCUCGACAGAAUCCGGCUUACAGGCCUGCUACGGAA